GGAUUAGAUACCCUGGUAGUCCACGCUGUAAACGAUGGGCACUAGGUGUUGGCGGAUUCGACCCCGUCAGUGCCGAAGCUAACGCAUUAAGUGCCCCGCCUGGGGAGUACGACCGCAAGGUUGAAACUCAAAGGAAUUGACGGGGGCCCGCACAAGCGGUGGAGCAUGUGGUUUAAUUCGAUGCAACGCGAAGAACCUUACCUAGGCUUGACAUGAUACUGUUACCAACCUGAAAGGGAAGGAAUCUCUAGCUUGCUAGAGAAGGUAUUACAGGUGCUGCAUGGCUGUCGUCAGCUCGUGCCG
rnacentral:rRNA from 1 species